rnacentral:lncRNA from 1 species
AUCCUCUCUUAACUUUCUCUGACUACCUCCAAUCUCUCAUCCUUCUCCUCAAACUGUGUUUCAAGGCAAAUUUCUCAGAGAUUGAGACAGUUUCAAUAUCUGAGCAAGCAAUCUUAAUCUCAAGUGUUUUGUGUAUAUUUAAGUGAUCCUAAAGCCUCCACUGUUUCACUGAUGUGUAAUUAUCUGAGAAAUUGAAAAGAAAUGUAAAGAAAAGAAAAUGGAAAUUCUAUUUCUGUUUUUACUUAGAAUGGUCAGAACACAGCAGGUAUCCAAGGAAAUGCUGAGUGGCCAACCUGAACAGUCUUUCAUAGAAAAUGUGGCCUUAGUAUAUUAGUACUUCUUUUAAGAAAUAUGAUGGAAUAUCUUUGUUUUGAAAUUGCUACUGAAAAUGUUUUUCACAUGCCCUUCCAACAUUGAAGACCCAGAUUACAAGCUAAAAUUCAAGCAAUUGAUUGGGGGUAGCUGCAUGUUUGCUGAAGCAGGAGGAAUGUCUCUGCAAGCAAGUUCUACUUUUCAGAUACUACAAUAUGAAAUAAAAGAGGGUGUCUCUUAACUUUCAAGAUAGUCCCCAGAUUUCACUUAUCAAAACAGUCUUUUUGAAGAGAUUUCUAGAUUUCUUCAUAUGAACAUCAAAUAAUUAGCUACCAUUAGCCCACACUCCCCCAUUUGAUAUAUGUGAAGUUAAAUGGAAAAUCUGCCCACUAGAGAUAGGCAGGUGCUAUAUAAACACAUCUGUAGGUCUUUUAGAAAUUACUAUCAUCACUCUUUUCAUUAAAGUGACAUGCAUAUAUUUAGAAACGCUUUUCAAAAACCUAAUGAAAGACUGUCCUUGAUAACUUCUCUAUAUGUUCAUCUAUAAAUCAUUAUUAAAAUCCUUUACAUAAUGAGGUGCACAUUCUUGGGGAGGAAAAAAAAAGGAAGUUUCAAUUCUCC